rnacentral:snoRNA from 12 species
UUGGGCACAAUGAGGAGUUAAUUUUGCUAAUGUAUCUCCGAGGCCAGAAGGUCAAUGAUUCUUAUGUCCUUUUCAUUCUGAGUGCCCU